GCACCUGAAUCUUUUACAGUCCCUGAUGCUCUAUGAUGGUAUGGGGAUGGUUGGUGCCACGACAUGAGCAGAAGAAAUCCAGAUAGAUUGUUUUCCAUUCAUCUUGGAGCCUGUUUAUGAAACUCUGCUAUGUUA
ensembl:snoRNA